AAGGGGAGCGGACUUUUCAGGCGAGUCGAAGUACUCCCAAAAGUGCUAUUACGCCAUAAAAUAUAGUUCCUCUUUUAAAUCCGCUUAGAAAAGCGCUACGUUUUAUUUUGUACCACCAAACUUGCUCGUAUAACUACUCGUCUUAAAUAGGAAAAACAGUGAUGUGUUUGGUCACUUCUAACUUUAUCUCUAAAUGGUACAAUUGAAUGAAUGGGGCUAAGCUAAAUGCUAUCGAAGCGUCGCAGCGCGCUCCAGCGCUUACGUGCACGCACACAGAUGAUAGAGGGAUGUAUCAACAGUUCUUAGUUAAGGUAAUAACAUAUUUUAAUAUUGAAAAUGAGUAGACUAUUCCUUUAACGCUGAAGAUCACUGAUUGGUCAUAAUUGUCAAUACCAACAUCGUUGCUAAAUGCAAGAUUAGCUCACCCUCGUGUGCCGUCAAGCAAAAUGGGAUGUUGUCAUAUGUGCUUUGUUGUACAAGUUCCCAAACUCCCUUUUACCGGUGAAAAACAUCAACAUGUUGAGAAUCAAGAACACUGUUUGUUUGUAUCACGUUUUUGCGAUGAUGUCACAGCAGGCGCAACUGUAACAAUAUAGUCCCACCCACUCUGAAGUAGCACUAAACUCCAAUGGAAAAGCAAACCGAGCCAGAGUAAAGUGAGCUGAGCCCAGCCGCGUGGUACCAUGGGCCGUACUAUUCAAUGGAAAAUUAGUCUUGAGGCAGACAGGUGCAGGAAGUUCUGAGCUAUUAAAAACAACGUUCAAGAUAGAAGUCCAUGUAGCGGUGGAGCGUGGGCGAGAGAGAACACUUGAAAUUCAUUUUGGCUGCCAAUGUUAUUUAAAUGAGAGUGUAAUAUGUUAGAUGUUCUCUGCUGAAAGUCUGAUCCGAUUUUUCUGUUAAACACGAAUGGUCGCUUGAAAUGGAGCUGUGCUUAAAUCCUUAAUUUUUGGUAGAAAGUAUAAAGUGAAAAUAAAAGAUUAUAGUAUAACUGAAGUUCAUGGAACAUUGUCAAUACUUUCAGCGUGUGUUUGUGUGGCAUUAGUGUGCUACGGUGCUGCAGUUAUGUCAUAGCUCAAAAUAAUAUACAUCUAUAAUGGAAAUUUUUCUCCCAAUGCGUUAUUUUUUUUAUGGAAUUCAGCAAGGUCAUAUAUGUAUAUAUGUGUAUGUGUAUAUUAUAACUGCCUAAUAAGCUGUACUCAUACAUUUACCCAUGCAUCAAUAUCCUCUCAACAUUUCAUUUUGAAAUGUAUUAUUUCAGCAUUUCUGACAUGCUUUUUGGGGAUUCCGAGUGCUGUGUAUGUUUUUUAAUAUCCCGAAAUAAUGAAAUGCCACAGGGUAAAUACUGUUGCAAAAAAAUCAAUGCGAGAAAAAUAUAUUCACUUUUACAAUCUCUCUGAAGAGUAAAGCCAGAACAGAUCAUAGCUUAAAUUGUUAAAGGUUGAGCUAAUAAAGAAUAAUACAUCACAGCAUUUUAUUACUACAAAAGAAAACUACAUGUCUUGAAAUCACUAGUGUUUAUAUUUGAGUUGUUUUUUGCUGUAUUCUAACUUGUUCAGCAGUAUAGUUUGUUUAUAUAGAUUUUUGAGGUUUUAGUAGUUCAGUCAUUCGUCAGACGUUAUGGCUUAAUUUUAAAUUAAUGACACACAGGGAUGUGUUUGACUGUUUCUUUUGGUCUAUUUUAUUGAUUUCAUAAAAAACGCAGAAGGUUUUCAAUAUUAUUUUUACUGUUACUUUUUGUUUAAAUAAACUUAUUUCAUUAACAUGAAUCAUUUAGUUGGUGCUACAAAAUAUUUAGUUCAGCUUUUUUGAUCUGUCUGUACUUUUUGUGUGUCUGAAGAGUGUGCGUAAGUAUUGUGAUUUAAGUUUUCGAGACUUAUGCAGCUAGAUAUGGUGGAGGUCACCAUUGAAAUUAUGCAAUUUGUGUAGCCACUAAGAAUACUUCUCUUAAACUGAACAUUUUAAAGAGUAUUUUAAAGCCUGAAAAAGGGUGAAUUGUGCUUAGGAAAUCUGUAAUGUGAAACUUAUGUUAAAUGCACAUUACAUGCUUCAGUUUCUACAUUAUUUUUAAGAUCUGGGAAAGUUUGUGUAGUUGUAUGCAGUUUUUUCUGCAUUUCUCAUAGUUGUUUCUCCAUCUUCAUUGCCGGUUUAAUAAAGAUACAGCCGCAAACUUUCAUUAACUGGGUGCAGUAGGCAAAUAGGCAGUAAGAAAAUAACACACUGUCUGUGGCCUUCCAGCUGUGUGCAUGUCCAUCAAACUGAAUUUCUUUAAACUUCAAAAGAUGUAAUGUAACUUGACAGUUUUUUGACAUGUUAGGAAAAAAUGACGGCAACGUUCAGUCAGGUGAACUUCAUAGUCACCUACUAUGACUAUACUAAACUAAAAUAUUUUCAGUGUUUAUAUAAGGGAUUUUUAUAGUUUAAAAAUACAAGCAUGGGUAAAAAAUAGUAGUGGUAGUUGUGCACUGUAGUCAUUUCUUAUUUUGCAUUGUUAUAUGAUACUGUAACCAAAUUAAAUAUUAACAAAUUAAAAUAAUAAAGGUUUACAGGUCUGUGCAAUAAUUUUUAUUGCUAUUAUAAUUUUAGCAAAAAAUUAGUUUUAUUAAACUUACAAACUAAUCUAAUCCUGCAGAUCCAGUACUUAUUAAAAGUGAUCUCAGUAUAUAAUGUAUAUACUGAGAUGUACAGAAAUGUAAUUUCUCCCAACACAUUAUGUACUGUACUGUAUGUUGGCAGAAAUUAAAUUACAGCUAAAAUGCUUCAUUUUGAGUCAGACAGGAUUACUUUAUCUAGUGAGGAAAUUUCUAAAUAAUAUAAGAGUCACUGAAAGUGGGAAGUAAUUGACUGGACAUGUUAUCUAAACUUUGUGGUCACUAUAUUUUGCCACCUUCUAUAUGUAAAAAUAAAUCAGCUUUGGCUACCUUAUUACUGAAGUCUCAUGUGAAUGUAGAUUUAUAUACUUUUAAGGAGAAAAAUAUAUUUUUUUAUUUUUUCAGCAAAUGCUGUAAUAGACACCUGUUUUGCUUUUUCAAGUUCAAACUCGGUGACUGUGACUCUUUAAAUUAUUUGCUCAUUUAUUUAAGCCGCAUUAGCCAUGUGAAAAAGAAUGCAGUCUAGUAAAAGUAAUCACACAAUUUUGUGCACUGGUAAUAGAUUUGAGUUUUAAGGGAUAAUUCACCUCCGCUCUUCCCCGAGUUAUAAUAGCAAUCUUUCUCCAUGUGAUAUGGUAAGUAAAUAAACCAGUUUUAGCAUAGUAAACUAGGGCUGUACCCUCCACACAGCUCAGGCCUUGCAGACUCAUCUGUAUGAGCCCUUCCUGCUAGGAAUAGCUUAGAAAAGGAAGUUAAUUAUUUCCACCCAAACCUAAAAUGCCUCUGUCUUUCUCUACAAAGAUUGGCUUGUGAUUUGCAUGAGGAUUUUGUGGAGCUUUUCAGCAUGUUUGCCGUGUCUGUCCUGGCUGUCUGUUUAAACAGGCCCCGAGUAAUGAAGAAGAGAAGAUGGAAAGAAAGAGGGAGGGAGAAAAAGAGGAGGUGUGCUAAACCCUGGUCUCCCUCCUCAGCCCUUUUGGGAUAUGAAGGCCCCAGAUGGUGUAGGGGUGUGAAAGCAGCAUUGUGUGUGUCUGCGUGUUUAUAUUUAAGUGUGUCUGUCUGUUUUUCAGUCUCUCUGUCUGUCUGUCCGUCCAUCUGUACUUUUCUUCGGAAAUCCAGGGCGUCCUUGGUGAAGGAAGUCUGUCCUAAGGUCAUCAGCUUGUCUCUCUGUCUGAAUGGAAACAAAAGACAGUGGACACAACUAACCCCCCGAAAUCAUCUUUGUCCCCAUUGCCCUCUGUAGCCCAGAGCCUGACACCCAGCAGUGGGGGCUUUGAUUAGCCAAGUGGAGACACUGGGGGUCACACUACCCUUUGCCCUGAUUAGCCUGCACUUGGCCACUGCUGACCCCUCCUUCCUAAGAAAAUGAUGUGAAGGGGUUGGUAAUAUUGAAACAGGGCAUUUGGGAAGAAACAUCAUGCACCUUGACCUGUCUAGACACUGCCGGUGUAACAAAUGGAUAAUGUGGCAUGUUUGUGUUGUUGAUAUGGUGAUAUGGUGUUUCUACUCUUUCUUUUCAUAUUUGAGGUCAAGAAUUACACUGGUUUUAAGUUGCAAAAAUAAUUUUUAGCAGUGAUUUUUUUUUUUCUUUUAAAGUGGAAGCAUUCCCAGUGAGUUUUUUUUUUUUGACACAUCACGAGUGAGAAAAGUUUUCCCCUUUUCCCCAGAGACUCAACAUUUCCGAUAGCGAAGAGGAACAGAGAUGGUGUGACUUCUGAGAUAAGACACUUCAGCUGCAGGAUGUUAUGACAGAUCAAAUGAAUCCCAGAUGAAGCGUGUCAAAGAUUAAGCACUCCCAACCUCCACCCAGAAGUUCCACUGAUGCUCUGUCUUGGCUCCUCCCUCCGUGUUUCCAGCCUCCACCUGCCUCACCUGUAUCCACUGGAAUUCACCAGCUAUUCAACCUCCUACCUUCUAUGGACAUUCAUGUUCUGUUUUUUGCACAAAGCCACCACUUCAAUAUCUUUUCAAUGGCACAAUGACGCACUGGGAGGGGGGAGUUCGGUAAUAAGUUUGUUCUUUUUCUGUUCUUUUGUCUUCAUCAUUUCUUUAGUUUUUCAUGUUAAUCUUGUUUAUUGUUCCCUUCUCUGUUUCCAUGGUUUUUCAUUGUUCACACCUGUGUCUUAUUUAGUUCACUCUGUAGUUCUGCGUAUUUAUACCCCUGCCUUAGUUCUCUUCAUUUGUCAGUUCGCUUUAUUGUGUAGAUGAUGUUUCCAGUUCUCCAGUACAGGCUUUUCAGGGGGCUUUUAAAGCUGCUAAUAAACUCUAUUGCUGCAGUACAAAUACAUUUGAAUUUCAAAUGUUUGUCUUCAGGUUUAUACAUCCAGCUUUACUCUAAGUGUAACCAAUUAUAUAUUCGUUACAGAUAAAAAUAUGUAAAUUGAUAUAGGAAGCGGGUCCCUCAUAUUUGGGGGUCCUUGGCAUCAUAACAUUUGAAAACCCCUGCUACAUGGAUUUUUUGUUUUAGUAAAGUCUGUCUGGGCCUCUUCUUACACCUGCCUGCACAAUCGUGUCAGUUGUGUUGGUCUGUUAAUCAGUAUUAAUGUGAGUCUGUUGAUGUCUAUUAUGUGAUCACAAUCAGUUGUUAUAAAUAGCAUAAGCUGU